rnacentral:misc_RNA from 1 species
GAUGAAGAACGUAGCGAAAUGCGAUACUUGGUGUGAAUUGCAGAAUCCCGUGAACCAUCGAGUCUUUGAACGCAAGUUGCGCCCGAAGCCAUUAGGCCGAGGGCACGCCUGCCUGGGCGUCACACGUCGUUGCCCCCCCAUCUACUCCUUCGGGAUUGCGGGGGGCGGAUGAUGGCCUCUCGUGCGCCUCGUCGCGCGGUUGGCCUAAAUGCCAAGUCCUCGGCGACGCACGCCACGACAAUCGGUGGUUGCGAAACCUCGGUUGCCUGUCGUGUGCGGUCGUCGCGCAUCGAGGGCUCGAAAAAAUUGCCGGGCUUCGGCUCGACUUUGAACGCGACCCCAGGUCAGGCGGGGUUACCCGCUGAAUUUAAGCAUAUCAAUAAGCGGAGGA